GAUCGAGUUUGAUCCUGGCUCAGGAUGAACGCUAGCGGCAGGCUUAACACAUGCAAGUCGAGGGGUAUAGUUCUUCGGAGCUAGAGACCGGCGCACGGGUGCGUAACGCGUAUGUAAUCUACCUUUUACAGAGGGAUAGCCCAGAGAAAUUUGGUAUUAAUACCUCAUAGUAUGUGAGAAUCGCAUGGUUUUCACAUUAAAGUUCCAACGGUAAAAGAUGAGCAUGCGUCCCAUUAGCUAGAUGGUAAGGUAA
rnacentral:rRNA from 1 species